UACGGGGGGGGCAAGCGUUGUUCGGAAUUACUGGGCGUAAAGGGCGCGUAGGUGGCCUUCUAAGUCAUGCGUGAAAUCCCCGGGCUCAACCCGGGAACUGCGUCUGAUACUGGAAGGCUUGAAUCCGGGAGAGGGAUGCGGAAUUCCAGGUGUAGCGGUGAAAUGCGUAGAUAUCUGGAGGAACACCGGUGGCGAAGGCGGCAUCCUGGACCGGUAUUGACACUGAGGCGCGAAAGCCAGGGGAGCAAACGGG
rnacentral:rRNA from 1 species